GCAAGGAAUUUUCGUCAAUGGGCGCAAGCCUGAACGAGCAACGCCGCGUGGAGGAUGACGGCCUUCGGGUUGUAAACUCCUUUUGGGGGGGACGAUGAUGACGGUACCCCUUGAAUAAGGCUCGGCUAACUCUGUGCCAGCAGCCGCGGUAAUACAGAGGAGCCAAGCGUUGUCCGGAUUGACUGGGCGUAAAGCGCACGCAGGCGGAUGCGCGCGUGGGGGGUGAAAUCUGGCCACUUAACGGCCAGGCGCCAUCCCAUACGGCGCGUCUGGAGCCUUGCAGAGGGCGGUGGAAUUGCCGGUGUAGUGGUGAAAUGCGUAGAGAUCGGCAGGAACACCCAGGGGGAAACCAGCCGACUGGGCAAGUGCUGACGCUGAGGUGCGAGAGCGUGGGGAGCGAACCGGAUUAGAAACCCCGGUAGUCC
rnacentral:rRNA from 1 species